rnacentral:ncRNA from 1 species
CACACGGUCCUUUUCAGGACCAUCAAUAUUUUACAAAAAAAGAUU